UACGUAGGGGGCAAGCGUUGUCCGGAUUUAUUGGGCGUAAAGAGCGUGUAGGCGGCCAGGUAGGUCCGUUGUGAAAACUCGAGGCUCAACCUCGAGAUGUCGGCGGAAACCAUCUGGCUAGAGUCCGGAAGAGGAGAAUGGAAUUCCCGGUGUAGUGGUGAAAUGCGUAGAUAUCUGGAGGAACACCGGUGGCGAAGGCGGCAUCCUGGACCAAUUCUGACGCUGAGGAGCGAAAGCCAGGGGAGCAAACGGG
rnacentral:rRNA from 1 species